rnacentral:misc_RNA from 1 species
CUCUUCCGGUCUUUCGAGACCGAGCGUCUUCAACUCGGCCGCAGGACACUCCACGCAAGCCGCCUGGGAAUGCGGCCGAGGCGAAGCAAACCCUUGCCUAUGAUGUACCCUUUGUUCCCUCGGCGGGCUCUAGCGCCCGUUUGAUGGGCCCAACCAAAAACCCCUUUGUCAGUAGCAGUAUACCUCUGAUCGUGGGCAUUUGAAUCUUAA